GAUGAACGCUGGCGGCGUGCCUAAUACAUGCAAGUCGAGCGGACGGACGAGGAGCUUGCUGCUCUGAUGUUAGCGGAGGACGGGAGAGUAACACGUGGAUAACCUACCUAUCAUAGUGGGAUAACUUCGGGAAACCGGCGCUAAUACCGGAUAAUAUUUUGAACCGCAUGGUUCAAAAGUGAGAGACGGUCUUGCUGUCACUUAUAGAUGGAUCCGCGCUGUAUUAGAUAGUUGGUAAGGUAACGGCUUACCAAGGCAACGAUGCAUAUCCGACGUGAGAGGGUGAUCGCCCACACUGGAACGGAGACAGGCUCCAGACUCCUACGAGAGGCAGCAGUAGGGAAUCUUACGCAAUGGGCGAGAGCCUGACGGAGCAACGCCGCGUGAGUGAUGAAGGUCUUCGGAUCGUAAUACUCUGUUAUGAGUGAAGAACAUAUGUGUACGUAACUGUGCCCAUCUUGACGGUAAUUAAUCAGAAAGCCACGGCUAACUACGUG
rnacentral:rRNA from 1 species